GAGAGGAGGCUGUGUCCCAGCAGUGGGAACAUUAGAAGGCUGAUGAUGAGUGUGUAAUUUUGAUAUUUUUAAUUUUCAGUUGUGAAUUAUGGGCAAAGUAUUGCUUCCCAAACGAAGCCUGGUCUUCACCAAAAUUCCAGGACGACUCCAUAAACAACAUAAGAUGCUAUGCAGCAAACAUUUCAAAAGCACAUGCUUUAAUGAGAAGAAGUUGUUCAGAACAGCUGUACCUGAUGUUCAAUGCCAAAAGGAUACAACAACUUCUAAUGUGCCAGAUCAAUCUGCCAUAUUUGAACCUGUUGCCGGUCCAUCCAGAAUGAAUCCUUUAACAGAACAUAAUGUAAACAUUA